GUUGUUGCCAUUAGAGUUUGAGUGUUAUGCAGAGAGAGACGAUCAUUCAGGCAAUUCCGCCUCAGCGAGGACUGAAAACUCCACAUUAACCCCACACAACAAAUCUACCAGCUCCAGCUCUCAACCUGACUCAGGCAUUUUCUCCCGGGUGGUAAACGGAUGGAUCCGGCCAAAGGAGCCCUGCUGCCCUCACCACCACCCAGAAGGGAAGGGUGACCCCACUCCUUUGCUGGCAUUUUCCAUUGUGUGGGGGUGGGGUGGUGGGCAGGCCGGUCUCCACCUCCAUGCUGUCUGGCGCCCACUGCUCCUAUCAGUGAUUACUGCUGUCUCCCCUCUUCCCAGCUCUUCCUCCUCCAAGGUGCCCAAAGGCCCACCCUUUCCACUCUGGAAGGCUCUCUCCUGCUCACCGUCUGCAUAGCAGUCUCCCAAAGGCCAAAGGGCCCUCUAGGUUGAAGCGGCCCUGCAGUGGACUCUUAACGUGGUGUUGGCAGUGACAGUGAUGUCAGACUGCAUAGAGGCUGGCAUGAGAAGAGCUACGGGGUGGGGAAGGAUAGAGACCACCACAAUCAAAUAACUGGGAUCGCUCCCCGGUCUCGUAUCCUUCUUGCCACAAUGUGGAAGACAUCUCCCAGUCAAGGCAUCCCUUGGCAUUCCUCUUAACCUGUGUAAUUUCUAAGAGAUCUAUACAUACCACAAAAAAAAAAAAACCAGCACAGAUCCAGGAAGUAAAUUGAGUUUAAUGCAUGAUUGAUAUGGCCCGGGAGUGGUGCAUGCUGUCUUUACUGAGCAUGAUAAAGGUGCGUGACCGCUAUUUGUCAUUUCUGUGGUAGCUAUUCCUUUCUGUUUGAAGAACCCCUUCGAAAUCAUCUAUCCCCAUCUUGGGUUCUCAUGUUGUCUCAAGGCGCAGCAGAGUCAGGGACGAGUAGUCCUGGAGCAACCUGCCCCGAGUGACAGGCCUGACAAUCCGAGUGAUGGAUUGGGGCUGGGAAAGUGGUACUCGAAGCGAGGCAGUGACACCAGCGCGCCUCCACUGGCCGCCGAGAGCACGGAGAAGUGGUCUCCCCAGAGGCCGACGCACAAAGGACCAGCUUCACCUUCUGACGAUCGCGGACUGGGAACUUCAAUGUCAGGACUAUGACUAUGUAAAACCUCUGCCAAGUGCGAAUCUGGCAACGCACACUUUAUCCCAAAGGCGCGAGAGGGAGCUAGGGGAGGAGGACAUUGUUAUUUUUAAUUAAAAGUUUUUAUUCCGAAAUUUCCCUGGGAAAAGGUAGGGAACCCUCCCCCCAAUCCCGCGAGGAGGGGGCCGCGCAUCUCUGAGUUCGUAUAGACCUCAGCACUUAGAGAUCUUCUCCUCCUCUGGGAUACUGGCCUCUCCAGUGAUCCUGUGUCGCCCCAAAACAGCAACUAAGCGCGGUGCAGUGAAGGAAUUUUACGCCUCUAAACAGGAUACGGUAACAAACCUGAAACACACCCAAACACCAAACCUAUAAAUCAGCGCGCAGACACAGCGCGCCGGGCGCAUCGAGGG
rnacentral:lncRNA from 1 species